UACGUAGGUGGCGAGCGUUGUCCGGAUUUACUGGGUGUAAAGGGCGUGUAGGCGGGACUGCAAGUCAGAUGUGAAAUCCAGGGGCUUAACCCUUGAACUGCAUUUGAAACUGUGGUUCUUGAGUGAUGGAGAGGCAGGCGGAAUUCCUUGUGUAGCGGUGAAAUGCGUAGAUAUAAGGAGGAACACCAGUGGCGAAGGCGGCCUGCUGGACAUUAACUGACGCUGAGGCGCGAAAGCGUGGGGAGCAAACAGGAUUAGAUA
rnacentral:rRNA from 1 species